ACUGGCAUUUCAAUAUUUAUUUACGUGCAUUUUGUCAAUGAUUAACUGCAAUUUUCGUGACCGGAAGGUGACGCUUUGUAGGCGACACCGUCCAAACUAAUUCCACCGAUCAAGCAUCAAGGUUGAAAUACAAUUAUUAGGAAUUUUGAUAAUGCGAUAUAUCAUAUACCAUAUUUUCAGAGCCGCUCACCAGACCCAGAUUGUCCAAUCACUCGGCUGUCGCGACGGUGAAUGGGCCUACAAAACCCGAUAAUAUCCACUUAAUAUGGCUAAUUUAUGCUGGCCAAACCAUCACAUCUGGCCCACGCGCUGUGCCAACAUUUCAAAGAGCUCAUAAAAAAUUAUGAUAUGUAUUAUUAAUGAAAAUUGCAAAUUCAGAGCGACGGGGACCAAAAACAAACACACAUUGGCUGCAAAACAAUUUAUUUAUUAUGUGAGCAAACAUUAUACACUGUUUACUACUCCUUUUUCUUUUUUUUUUUUUUUGUGUCAUUCGAAAGCUGCUGAUUAUUGUAAUUCGGGUAAAUGGUUUGGCUUAAAAUGAAAGCUGCCCGGAAAUUUCAAUUAAUGUAUUUUCAAUUUUUCACCACCAAUUCCCCUGCUCGUUUCUAUUAUUACCACUUUGCAAUCAAUUAGUGGCAACGAUUUUUAAUUAUAAAAUUUCGCAUCUAAAUUAAAAUUUUCGCUUCGGAUGCUUAACCCUUACCCAUACCCUCGGUUGAUUAAAAAUGUUUAACCUUUUCCUUUGGCUUCAAAACUUACCAUUUUUUGUGUUGUCGCUGCUCGAAAUAGUUCGCAUACAUAAAAAACGAGCUUCGAUUUGCAUUUGUCGCAAUUUUCAUAAUAUUCACAGAUUUUUCUGUGGGCCUCUGCUUAUCUUCGAUUUUGAGGCCUGUUUAUUUGUGUGUUGAAAUGCGAGAUUGUCGAGUGGCAUGUUCGAGAUACAUGCAUAAUUUUUGUGUAUAUUUCUACGCGCUGUGUGAAACAAAUGCAAAACGAGAAAUUUAUUAAUGCCAUAUGGGUGUCAUUUGAGCUAAGUUGCAGAAGAUACAAUCUAGCUAAAAAUGCGACUUCGUUUGACAUGCAAAUCGUAGUGGAGAGAGUUCGUUUCAGUCAGCUGCGCCUCGUAUUUGAUUUGGAUUUAUUUUGGAAUUGAGUGUGUUUGGCUUGUUCUCUUGUCAGCCAGCUGUGUUUGCCUACCUUUAAUUAGCUAAAAAAUUGUUCUGCUUUCCGUUCCAUUCGAAUGUUAUUUCUCCGACUAAUUUUUUGUGGCGCUGUCAUUUGUUGCAAUCAGUGAGAAAAUUAAACGAAAUCCCGAUGACAACAUUUUUAUUGCUGCUCGCUUGCCAUUAAAAUUAGGAGCUAAUCACACGUUUAACAAGAUUUUGUUGUGUGUUUGUUUAUUUGGUGGUUUCUGACUUCGAUCAGUUGAUAUUUUAUUUAAUUUUUUGUUGUCUUUAUAGUGGGGACAGCAGACAGGUGCUUAGCUUAUUUUAUUUUAUUUUUUUUUUGGCUGCAGCUGAGUCAGCAAUCGCCGAUCGUGAGAGUUUUUCGUUGGCUUUGUUUUGGAUCUUUUGAUUUAGUUCAUUAAUUGGCCAUAAUAGUUUUGUUUUAUAACUGGCUAUAUACAUCGGUGGUGAACUUGAAAUUCAUUACAAGCUGGUUGACAUUCUCGUCAAGUGUUAGUUUAUUUCAUUUUGAACAGUAAGCUCCGGCAUAAAAUAUCCAUAAGUACACUCUGUGAUGUUCCCUAAUCAGAUGUAUCUAAGCUUACUCUCUCUUUCUUCGGGGGACUUCUAAUUCAACCCUUCAAAUAUGGCAACAAAAGCUUUGCGGAUGCCAGAAAGAGACGACGCAUAGGAUGCAGAGAUAGAUGGAUAGAGUUGAACAACUAAUUAAACUUGAACAAUGGCGCAAAGUUGGCAAACAAAUGUCAUUACUUCGACUUCAGUCUGGUCAGUAAGUAGUAGACUGUGAGUUGUUCGAGUUUUCGGUUUGCGCUGCUGGUUGACACAUUUUCUGGAAUGUAGGUGAACCGAGUGAGACAUGCAACGAAAUCGAGUGGAUUCGUAAGCCUAAAACUGUAACCAAUUCGGAGACGGCCCUUUUUCUACACACACAUUUUUUCGGCUACAUUUCCGAGAUGCGAGUACAUAAACAAAUCGGAUUAGUUGACAAAAAUCCAAUUAGCCGUGGGCCCCCAAACCCAAAAACGGUUGACAAUUUUCAACUGGCAGUGGACGGAAAAAUAACUCGAGCAUUUGAUGGAUGUGUGGCAGGCGUAAGAAUUUAUAGAGCCGUGAUUUGAUCGAUAGGCUCGAUGAUUUACGAGGCAGGUACUGGUAAAUGGUACAGACUGCCUGGCGACCCCGGAGAUAAGCUGACAUCCCGUCCACCUGCACCGGAAAACGGGGAAACCCAUCCACCAUUGGCAGGCAGGUCGAUGCUCAUACCUGUGAGCACGGAUAAUGAACCUCUAAAAUCCACGCCUCGCAAAUCCUCGAGCUCGGAUCCGCAUCCUGGCACUCAUCCUCGCUUUUGGGCAAUAAAGGGCUAAACAAACAGGCACGACAAUAAGUCCCUAUAGAUCGCAGUGCAUAUUAUCAUAAUCACCAAUAAAACCCUAGUCGCAAACUAA